GGUGGCUCAGUGGUACAGUGCUUGCCUUACAUGCAUGAAGCCCUGGGUUCAAUUCCUCAGCACCA
rnacentral:tRNA from 1 species